UGAAUCUUCAAAAUAUUGAGGACUCAAACAUUGAUUUGAGUGCAGUGAAUAUUUUAUUUGAAUAGGAAGAUCUGAUGC